rnacentral:misc_RNA from 1 species
CCAUACUCCCUCAGGCUGCCUCAAAAAUGCAGACACCCUACGCCAAAUUACAUUAUCCACAUUUUGGAUCAGUGUUCAAAUACACGCACACUAAAGUAGCCUGCGAGAAGUUCACAGCUACCAGCUUAACGGACAUCGUACCUAUAAAAAUUUUAGGGAGAAGGUCCAGGAAGCAGACUGCAAACUGAUGGGCGCCACCUGUGGGACUUCGACUUCACUCCUUAAGGACAUAGAAGAUGAUGGGCGCCACCUGUGGGACUUCGACUACACUCCUUAAGGUAUGUAAUCUUUUUUUCUUUUUUGAAGGGGAGUUUGAGAAAUGAAAGAAAU